UACGGAGGGGGCUAGCGUUGUUCGGAAUUACUGGGCGUAAAGCGCGCGUAGGCGGCUUUGUAAGUUAGAGGUGAAAGCCCGGAGCUCAACUUCGGAAUUGCCUUUAAGACUGCAUCGCUUGAAUCAUGGAGAGGUCAGUGGAAUUCCGAGUGUAGAGGUGAAAUUCGUAGAUAUUCGGAAGAACACCAGUGGCGAAGGCGACUGACUGGACAUGUAUUGACGCUGAGGUGCGAAAGCGUGGGGAGCAAACAGG
rnacentral:rRNA from 1 species